CUCGCGACGCGUUGCUUUCGCUCGUUCCAGCUUUUGGUGAAGAUGGUGGAGAAGGUAAAUGUUGUACUUGCACCCUCCCGUGACAACUUCAGACUUACAACGAAACUGCAGAACCACCACCGUUGAGAACCACCUGAAGUCUAGCUGAACAGAAGAGAGAGAAAAGCCUGUGUUUACAAGGAGAAAUGCCACAUAUCACAUAUGUGUUUGUGUGAUAAAUUGUAAAAUGAUAG